UGAACAGGAUGAAAUGCUGACUGAUGG
rnacentral:piRNA from 1 species